rnacentral:lncRNA from 1 species
UUCUCUUUACCAAAACCUAAAAGAAGGACCUCACUUCCCUGCUUAGUGGCCUGACUCUGGAUGACUCAAGAGGGCUUUUCCUCCUCUCAGGAGCUACAAUAGUCACAGGGGAAGGUAUCCUUCUGCAGUUUGGGGAUCUGAAGAAAAGCUAAGCAGAUCAGAAAUGAAGUCAGCAAAAUUAACAUUAGAAAGAGAGAAACAAGGACACCAAGAAGCAAUUUCACCCACGAAAGCAUUCUGUUAUGAAAUCCAAGCUCUCUUUACAUGAAGACUCAGCCUGCAGACAGCUCCCUACACAUGCACCCCACAGGGAAGGCUGCUUGUCACCAGCAACCAUCUCCAUCCACAGAAGCCUGCCUUCAGUUGUCCCAAUUACAGGGAAGCCUGCUGAGGAAACAGAACUGUCUGACUGCAAAGGAAGUUUAGCUC